rnacentral:rRNA from 1 species
GAUCCUGGCUCAGGACGAACGCUGGCGGCGCGCCUAACACAUGCAAGUCGAACGAGCGAGAGAGAGCUUGCUUUCUCGAGCGAGUGGCGAACUGGUGAGUAACGCGUGAGGAACCUGCCUCAAAGAGGGGGACAACAGUUGGAAACGACUGCUAAUACCGCAUAAGCCCACGACCCGGCAUCGGGUAGAUAGGAAAAGGAGCAAUCCGCUUUGAGAUGGCCUCGCGUCCGAUUAGCUAGG